rnacentral:rRNA from 1 species
GGCUCAGGAUGAACGCUAGCUACAGGCUUAACACAUGCAAGUCGAGGGGCAGCAUGUCGGUUGCUUGCAACCGAUGAUGGCGACCGGCGCACGGGUGAGUAACGCGUAUCCAACCUACCCUUGUCCAUCGGAUAACCCGUCGAAAGGCGGCCUAACACGAUAUGCGGUUCUCAGCAGGCAUCUAACGAGAGCGAAAUGUGAAGGAGAAGGAUGGGGAUGCGUCUGAUUAGCUUGUUGGCGGGGUAACGGCCCACCAAGGCGACGAUCAGUAGGGGUUCUGAGAGGAAGGUCCCCCACAUUGGAACUGAGACACGGUCCAAACUCCUACGGGAGGCAGCAGUGAGGAAUAUUGGUCAAUGGGCGGAAGCCUGAACCAGCCAAGUAGCGUGCAGGACGACGGCCCUAUGGGUUGUAAACUGCUUUUAUGCGGGGAUAAAGUGGGCCACGCGUGGCCUUUUGCAGGUACCGCAUGAAUAAGGACCGGCUAAUUCCGUG